AUUGAACGCUGGCGGCAGGCCUAACACAUGCAAGUCGAACGAGUGGCGGACGGGUGAGUAAUGUCUGGGAAACUGCCUGAUGGAGGGGGAUAACUACUGGAAACGGUAGCUACUACCGCAUACCAUCAGAUGUGCCCAGAUGGGAUUAGCUUGUUGGUGGGGUAACGGCGCACAAAGGCGACGAUCCCUAGCUGGUCUGAGAGGAUGACAAGCCACACGGGAACAGAGACACGGGCCAGACGCCUACGGGAGGAAGCAGGGGGGAAUAUUGCAAAAGGGGCGCAAGCCUGAUGCAGCCAUGCCGCGUGGAUGAAGAAGGGCUUCGGGUUGUAAAGUACUUUCAGUGGGGAGGCGUUACCCGCAGAAGAAGCACCGGCUAACUCCGUGCCAGCAGCCGCGGUAAUAC
rnacentral:rRNA from 1 species